rnacentral:rRNA from 1 species
AUGAAUGGUUGGAUUCUUAUAAAAGAUAAUCUUAUUAAGAGGAAUUGGCAUGAAAGUACGCAAUGUGUGUUCUGUCAUCACGAUGAAACAAUAAAACACUUGUUUUUUCAAUGCAAAGUGGCUCGUUCUAUAUGAUCAGUCAUCCAAGUAGUUUCUGGCUUGUAUUCUCCAUGUAGUGUUGCUAAUAUAUUCGGCAACUGGUUACGUGGGAUUAGUUACAUGUUUUGA